rnacentral:miRNA from 2 species
CAGGAGGGGCUCAGGGAGAAAGUGUGUGCAGCCCCUGGCCCUCUCUGCCCUUCCGUCCC